UUGCACAGCGUCUCACUUCACAGCCCUGCCCGCCUGACGUAAUUGACCCCGACGUAUUUUUGUUUAUGUGUGCCCGCUCCCCCGCCCCCAACGAAGCGAGAGGGGAAGCUGCUGCCGCCUUCGAUGACCAAUUCUAGAUUCGGAAACUAACAACUCCACCGUCUCAGCCGGAAUCCCUCCCAGCACCGAUGUAAAUCAUCUGUUACUACACACAGAACACUUUGCAAAAUCGUCACAAUUUCCCGUGUCUCUGGGCAGCCAAAUGAAUCGCUCGGAACCAAUUCCCAUUCGGCGGGAUCGCUCGUUCGACAGCGUUCUUAAUCGCCUGCUCCGGAUGAGGUCCCAGAACCAUGAGAGUUUCCGCGCGGCCAUGUACAACUUCCUGAUCGCCGCCGGAGUGGCUGCCUUCGUUGCCGUUUGCUUCAUCCUCGGACCCUUUGUACGCCCCCUGCUUUGGGCAUUCCUCAUGGGCGCAGUGCUUUUCCCGUUUAAGAGACGGCUGGCCGAAAGUGUGAAUGGAUGGUUCCAACGCCUAGAAGAGCGCGACUCCAACGUGCUGGUCUCCAUUUGCUUGUCUCCCCUUGAGGCAACGGAACACUGUGGCCGGCUACUGAUCGGAUGGCUCUGCGAGCACUGGCAGCUACUCCUGGCCGGAUGUGGAGUGGCCGGAUGCAUAAAGCUCCUGGUGCUGUAUGCUCCAAAGGGCUUUCUGCUGGCCCUCUGGCACUGGAUUACCUUUUCGCACGGGCUGUUUGUCCAAGUCAUCGGAUUCCUCAACGUAUAUGUGCUCAUCUCAUUGGUUGCGGUUUACUUGUGCAGCGUCCACUUCUUUUGGACGCCAGAGAACAGCUCCCAUUUUGUAGUCGCUGGCCAGUCUAUGUGGAUUGCCGUCGCAGGCUACCUGAGCAGCUUUCUGGGCGCCUUACAGGUGCCAGUGUUUCUACUGGUCAUGGCCUACGUUACUGCCUCUACUGUAUACCACUUGCAAACGAUAGAGGACUCGGGAUCCUACCUGCAUCGAUUACAAAAGUUGUUUGAUAAAAACGAUUUCGAGCGCUCGCUGAGCAACUUCAGCAUUUGUGGCAGACCGAGCAGUGAGCCACUCAGCCCGGGCUUGCAGUCGGAUGCGGAAGACAUCUCGUUGAGCGACACUGUCGAUUCCACAGACACGUUCGAUGCUAAGCCGGAGAACGAGGCGACAGGACACCAGAGCGAUACGUUCUUCAAGCUCUUGUUCUACGCCUGUUUGGGUACAUUUUUGUACCGCAACGUGUGGAUGUUUAUCCUGGCAGCCAUUCCAGUACUGCUGCACCUUAUAUACACUUUGGGAGCUUAUACGGGUAUAACCCAGUUUGCUUGCAAUAAAAUCUACGAAGUGUAUGCGACACUAAGGUCGUGGGCCAUCGAACAUCACUCCGCCGUGCUGCCACUUUGCCUGCCCGGUGUUUUAGAACUAAACUACAAAAUCAACACUAUUGUGCGGGACUCCCUAAAGUCCUCCGUGGAGUCGGUCACCUCCAUUCUUAUGAUCAUCCUCAUGCUGCUCAUCAUCGUGUUUCUCAGCGUAUUCUUCUGCGUGAAUAUCUACUCGGAGACGAUUGAGGUGGCCUACCUGGGCAAGGAUCUAAUUAACAAGACGAUCACAGAUCGGCCUGAGCUAAUUGAUAUCUUGCCCGCCAACAUGCAGGCGUCCAUUGAUGAUGCGCUAGACAAUGCGCACCAUUAUGGGCGCCGUAAGAUUGAAACCUACAUCGAUGACUGGCUGGCAGACGCUGACAAGGUGCACGCCACCAAACUUAAGGAACAGAUUCUCGAUGUUUGGGACAGAUUAAUCCAGUAUUGGAUCGACUUCAACAAGGCGGGCACCUCUUACGGUCCGCGUGUACCCACGGAUGCACUGAAGAGCACGUUUGGCGAGAUCGUUGACAAUCCAGGACAUUUUAAAGAGCUAGUUUUAGUGGCAAAACAGGGCAUUAUCGGCUGGGCGCAGAGCAAUACGCAGACGAUCCUCGAGGUCGCAGAGUCCUUGUGGCACAUAAUUCGAACCAAUCUAUCGAUGAUCAUGGGCGUGACUGGAGAGAUUUUAUCCCUGGUGUUAUCUGGUGGACAGGCGUGUAUUGAAUUCAUAUUGGACAUGAUUGUUUUCUUUACGGCCCUGUUCUAUCUGCUCUCAAGCAGCCAGGAGAAAUACGCGCCUCUGCAGAUCACAAAGUACUUGGGCUAUUCCAGCUCGGGCAUUAAAAUAGCCGAUGCCUUGGAAAAUUCCAUAACCGUAGUCCUAGUCUCAAUGUUCAGGUGCUCCACAUUUACGGGCUUGUUCACCUGGUUGGUGCACACAGUCUUCGGAGCUCGAAUAGUUUUCCUGCCCUCCGCAUUGGCAGCCAUGCUGGCAGCUGCUCCAUUCCUUGGCAGUUAUUGGUGUGCUGUUCCAGCAUUCUUGGAACUGUGGCUCGCCCAGGAUCGCUUUUAUGCAGGACUGAUACUUUUCCUCCUUCAGUUCUUUGUUCCAUCGUCAUUUGAAACGGCAAUAUAUGCUGAUCUUAAGGGUGGAGGUCAUCCCUACCUGAAUGGUUUGGCCAUAGCGGGUGGCAUGUACUGGAUUGGCUGGCAGGGAGCAAUCUUCGGUCCCCUUAUGCUUUGCUUCUUCAUAGGACUCUUCGAGGUGGCCACUCUAGCCAUGCGUAGCCACCAAGAACCCAGGUAACUUAGACAUUAGGAAGCAAUUUCGAUGAAUUUGUUUGAUUUGCAUGCAAAGUAUGAACUUUAUCAGACUUGUGCGGCCCAAGGAUUAAAAAACAGCACCGAUGAGGAGACGCGGACCACGUGAGUUGGCAUGGAACAGAAACUACGAAUUUCCUUUUAAUACUCGAACUGCAAACUAACAUAAGCUGUGUGGCCAAAUACCUGACAAUCAACGUGAACUUGGCCCAAAUAUCGAACUCCAGACUUAUGCUGGGGAUUUCCUUUGACUAUUAUUAUUCGUUUCGCAGUUGCUAAACCUCCUGCUUUGCCAAUUUGGUUUUUAAUUGUACUAAAAUGUUAAAGUAUUUCAGAUUCCGUCAGAGUAGCAAACUCUACCUAAUAUCUCUGCUAUUGAUAUUGUUUUACAUAAAAAAAUGUACCUCGAAUUGUUUGUAGUCGCGAAACAUUUCCAAAGCCUUUUAGUACCGAUUUUGUGCUCGCUACUAAUUGCUUAAUGUAAAUUUUGUGAUUUGUUUUAACAUAGAUAAAAAAUGUGUUGCAAAUAUAUUUCUAUACUAACUGUAA